UCACGUAGGUGGAGUCCUGGCACUGCCGGACGCAGGGCUCGUUGCAGCUGUUGGCCAGCGGGGUGGGGCCGCAGGAGGUGGAGGGACAUCGGUCGUAGCAGGACAUGGCUCGGGAUGAGGUCUGGAAUACAGGACCACACCUGAGUGCGAGGUGGGAGUCGUGUUGCACCUACAUUUACUCAGUUGAGUUAUCAGGACAACAACUUUCUAAGGAGCCUUUAAGGAGCUGAACCAGGAGCUGAGAAGGAAACCAAACCCUUAAAUAUGUUACAAGGAGACAGAGGCUGAAGCAUCCUCUGUGCUGUCGCGGAUCCAGGGAAGAGCUGGCAGCAGAACAAAAGAAACAAACCUGUAUCAUUAAUUUAAUUGUAGGAUUUCGAUUGCAUGUCUGGAGAGAUCCAGCUCCGUGCACCCAGAGCGUUGUAGGAGCAGCAAUUAGGAGUAAAACCCAACCACAAAUGUACCUGUGGAGAGAGUUCCAUGGGCAGCUGGAAAAAUGAAAGGGAGACUUCAUUUCAAGGCUCCAACUUUGCCUACAAAGAGGUACAAAUUUCAAUGUCAUUAAGCAGCCUUGAAGAGGAGGUCUUUGAAAUCUUUCCCAGACAACUCGUCCACGGAUGUGAGAAAAGGCAGGAAUCCCCUGCACGCUCCCUGGGUCUGGUCCCACCACGGCAAUGAAAACAAAAUUCUGAUUCCUACACCCGUCACAGUCUGGUGGGUGCUCAGCUCUGCUCUGGUUUUCCCCUUCUUUCCCUUUAUCCCCACAAUCCCUCAUCCCAUUUCUCAACAUUCCAGGAGAUGUCAUUGCAUUCUGGAACAAAAUUUCCGCACUUGGUGACCCAGCUGGCAUUCCAGGAUGGAAAAGACCCUCAAAGAUAUAAAAUGCUGCUGAAAAUAUAACUGAGCUCCUGGAUUUUCUGUUUUAAUAAAUAGUUGGAGUUGAAAGGGACCUUUAAAGACCCCAGAGUUCCAACCCCUUGCGCCAUCGUUCCACUCAUUCAAUUUGUUAAUCUUUAUUAUUUCCAAUAUUUUCUACACCACUUAACUUGUCUGAAAUCCCACGUUUGAAUAAAUUUCUAUCACCAAUUCAAGGAUCUCUAUAACCAAGUCAGGACUCCUGAAAUUCCACAAUUCCAACAGCAAACCCCAACUUCUUAAACAGAAAAAAUCUCCCCCCAACGAAUCCAGCAACCAGCAGAACACUGUGGGGGAAAAGCCAGAUUAUUAAAAGGCAAGAACUCAGCAAACAGAGAAAGAGAAGUGGAUUUGAACUAACCUUGCUCACAAAAGAGGAAAGAGGGAAGAGAAGUGGUGGGAAGGAGUUGGGUCGAGUUGGUUUUUAUACUUCAGCCCUGAUGGCCUGGGGACCACAGACAGCCUUUGUAGCUGGAAUUAAUUCCCAGCGAGUAUGUCCUGAAUGUCAAAUGUUCCACCUGAUUAAAUGUCUUUUCCUGGGUGCUUA